CAGCGAAAUGCGAUACCUAGUGUGAAUUGCAGAAUUCCGCGAAUCAUCGAGUCUUUGAACGCAAGUUGCGCCCGAGGCUUGUCCCGAGGGCAUGCCUGCCUGAGCGUCACCGCACUCCCACCCGACGAACCCUCGUCGCGCGUGGAAAUGGCCGUCCGGGGUCGGGCGUCGAUGCCCAGCGCCGCGGUCGGCUGAAAUGGAGCGUUCUGGACGUAGCCGGAGAGGGGGAUUGCGAGAAGGUGAUCUGCCCUCUGGGCGGAGUCUAUUUUGACAGCGUCCCUCGAUCCGGGAGGUCCCACGGAACUCGGAGCGGGAGCUCGCCCGGUCGAUCGCUCGCGGUCGGUUGGGCGAGUCACACCACUGCUUGGACCUCAGAUCAGGCAAGAUUACCCGCUGAGUUUAAGCAUAUCACU
rnacentral:rRNA from 1 species